GACGAACGCUGGCGGCGUGCCUAACACAUGCAAGUCGAACGGAGUAAACCGCUGAUUUGAAGGUAGCUUGCUACUGGAUUUUCUUGGUUUACUUAGUGGCGGACGGGCGAGUAACGCGUGAGCAACCUGCCUUUCAGAGGGGGAAUAACGACCGGAAACGGUCGCUAAUACCGCAUAACGUAUCAUGAUGGCAUCAUCGAGAUACCAAAGGAGCAAUCCGCUGAAAGAUGGGCUCGCGUCCGAUUAGAUAGUUGGUGGGGUAACGGCCGUACCAAGUCGACGAUCGGUAGCCGAACUGAGAGGUUGAACGGCCACAUUGGGACUGAGACACGGCCCAGACUCCUACGGAGGCAGCAGUAGGGAAUUUUCGGGCAAUGGGCGAAAGCCUGACCGAGCAACGCCGCGUGAGUGAAGACGGCCU
rnacentral:rRNA from 1 species